rnacentral:rRNA from 1 species
GCGCGAAAACUCCGCAAUGCGCGAAAGCGUGACGGGGGAACCCCAAGUGCCGUUGGUCUUUUGAUCGGCGGCUUUUCAGGAGUCUAAGAAGCUCCUGGAAUAAGGGCUGGGUAAGUCGGGUGCCAGCCGCCGCGGUAAUACCCGCAGCCCAAGUGGUGGUCGCGAUUAUUGGGCCUAAAGCGCUCGUAGCCGGGCCGGUAAGUCCCUUGUGAAAUCGGACCGCUCAACGGUUCGGCUUGCAAGGGAUACUGUCGGUCUUGAGGCUGAGAGACGUCGCAGGUACUCCGGGGGUAGCGGUGAAAUGCUGUAAUCCUCGGGGGACCACCAGUGGCGAAGGCGUGCGACGAGAGCGGACCUGACGGUGAGGGGCGAAGGCUAGGGGAGCGAACGGGAUUAGAUACCCCGGUAGUCCUAGCUAUAAAGCAUGCGGGCCAGGUGUCUGGUGUUCCUCGAGAUCACCAGGUGCCGGAGGGAAGCCGUUAAGCCCGCCGCCUGGGAAGUACGGCCGCAAGGCUGAAACUUAAAGAAAUUGGCGGGGGAGCACCACAAGGGGUGGGACCUGCGGUUCAAUCGGAUUCAACGCCGAAAAACUCACCAGGGGCGACAGCUGGUUGAAGGCCAGGUUGACGACCUUGCCGGACUAGCU